UACGUAGGGUGCGAGCGUUAAUCGGAAUUACUGGGCGUAAAGCGUGCGCAGGCGGUUCGUUAAGUUCGUCGUGAAAGCCCCGGGCUCAACCUGGGAACUGCGAUGGAAACUGGCGGGCUUGAGUGUGGCAGAGGGGGGUGGAAUUCCGCGUGUAGCAGUGAAAUGCGUAGAGAUCGGGAGGAACACCUGUGGCGAAGGCGGCCAGCUGGGCCGGACCUGACGCUGAGACGCGAAGGCGUGGGGAGCGAACGGG
rnacentral:rRNA from 1 species